UACAGAGGUCUCAAGCGUUGUUCGGAUUCAUUGGGCGUAAAGGGUGCGUAGGCGGCGCGGUAAGUCGGGUGUGAAAUCUCGGGGCUUAACUCCGAAACUGCAUUCGAUACUGGCGUGCUUGAGGACUGGAGAGGAGACUGGAAUUCAUGGUGUAGCAGUGAAAUGCGUAGAGAUCAUGAGGAAGACCAGUGGCGAAGGCGGGUCUCUGGACAGUUCCUGACACUGAGACACGAAGGCCAGGGGAGCAAACGGGG
rnacentral:rRNA from 1 species